GAACCGAUGACCUCGUCGUCUCACGCCGUU
rnacentral:sRNA from 1 species